AAAUUGGAAUCACUUGUCACCAAAUAAUGUUUAAAACUAUUUGAGAUUGUUGGCUUAGAGUAGCAGUCAAAUCAUAGGACAUGGCAAGGCCAAGGGAAAACACACCCCAGGAUGGAGAACAGGUUCCAAAAGCUGAGGAAAGACGUUGAGAAGGUUGUGCAUACUUCUUCAGUCUCAGCAGAACCUUUUCAAUAGUGAGAGAAAGGGUGUAUAAAAUGCUAUGGCAUUGAGAGAGGUUUGAAGCGGGAAGACACUGAUGGGUCAUUGAAGUGUGUGAAAUCUCAGUGAGAAAUUGCCUCUUUGAGUCAUGACGGAUCCAGAGCCUUGUCUGGUCCCCACGGUGUUGUCUAUAAAAUCUCCUGUGCUGCAUUAAGACAGCUAGGCAAUGCCAGAGACAAGAUUAAGAAUUUAUGAUUUCCACUUUGGGAGGCCGAGGCAGAUGGAUCACGAGGUCAAGAGAUCGAGACCAUCCUGGUCAACAUGGUGAAACCCCGUCUCUACUAAAAACACAAAAAAUUAGCUGGGCAUGGUGGCACGUGCCUGUAAUCCCAGCUACUCAGGAGGCUGA